rnacentral:lncRNA from 1 species
GCCUAGCAUAAGUGUUAUUCAGGAUGAAGUUAUACAAGGGCUUGAGAAUCUUGCAUUCCUCAAGAUGACAUCCAUUGCAACAGGUCAGAAUUCUUUAUGAGUGCUGCAUUAUGGCCCACUUCACGCUUAAGAACAAACAUGAGGAUUUCAGAGCUGAAUCAACGUUAGACUCUUAAAAAACAAUUGUAUCAUAUUCAGUGAACACUGAUGAAAGCCUCAGAAGAAUGGAACCACCUGCAGCUUUAUCUACCCUACCCCAACAUUUUGUUUCUUUCUUGGUUCUCCUACUGCCCACCCUUUCCCCUUGAAAUACUGGAGUCCCCAAGCCCCCUUUGAAAUAAAAAGCACAAAUCACAGAUGUCCCUGUGGGUUUUGUGUUUCUUUUCCCUGAGCCCAUCCUCAACCUUGGCAAAAUAAACCUUGAAAUUGAUUGAAACCUGUUGCAGAUACUUUUGGGUUUACAAAUUGGCCACUACAGGAGGAAUUCUGAAUGGAGGUGGCCCUUAACCUGUGGCAAAUCUCCUAUCCGUGGCUGGUACUGGUUGGGCUAUUUUUAUCACUCAAACCAAUAAGGAAAUUUGCUGAGGUCUGGAAGCUACCCAGCUCCGGAGAACACCUGAUCUCCCAAAUUUUGGGUGAGAUUUAAGGCUUAUUUUGCUGUACAGCUC